GACGAACGCUGGCGGCGUGCUUAACACAUGCAAGUCGAACGCUGAAGCACCAGCUUGCUGGUGUGGAUGAGUGGCGAACGGGUGAGUAAUACGUGAGUAACCUGCCCUUGACUCUGGGAUAAGCCCGGGAAACUGGGUCUAAUACUGGAUGCUACAUGUCACCGCAUGGUGGUGUGUGGAAAGGGUUUACUGGUCUUGGAUGGGCUCACGGCCUAUCAGCUUGUUGGUGAGGUCAUGGCUCCCCAAGGCGACGACGGGUAGCCGGCCCGGGCGGGUGACCGGCCACACUGGGACUUGGACACGGCCCAGGCCCCUACGGUAGGCAGCAGUGGGGAAUUUUGCACCAUGGGCGGAAGCCUGGUGCAGCGGCGCCGCGUGGGGGAUGGCGGCCUUCGGGUUGUAAACCUCUUUCAGCAGGUAAGAAGCCGCAAGUGACGGUACCUGCAGAAGAAGCGCCGGCUAACUACGUG
rnacentral:rRNA from 1 species